rnacentral:rRNA from 1 species
UACGAAGGGGGCGAGCGUUGUUCGGAAUUACUGGGCGUAAAGGGCGCGCAGGCGGCGGACCAAGUCAGGCGUGAAAGCCCCGGGCUCAACCUGGGAGGUGCGCUUGGGACUGGUUUGCUAGAGAUCGGGAGAGGAGCGUGGAAUUCCCAGUGUAGAGGUGAAAUUCGUAGAUAUUGGGAAGAACACCGGUGGCGAAGGCGGCGCUCUGGACCGAGACUGACGCUGAGGCGCGAAAGCGUGGGGAGCAAACAGGAUUAGAUACCCUGGUAGUCCACGCUGUAAACGAUGUGUGCUAGACGUUGGGGAGCCUAGCUCUUCGGUGUCGCAGCUAACGCGGUAAGCACACCGCCUGGGGAGUACGGCCGCAAGGUUAAAACUCAAAG